rnacentral:rRNA from 1 species
CGGAGGAAAAGAAACCAACAGGGAUUGCCUCAGUAGCGGCGAGUGAAGCGGCAAAAGCUCAAAUUUGAAAUCUGGCGUCUUUGGCGUCCGAGUUGUAAUUUGAAGAAGGUAUCUUUGGGCCCGGCUCUUGUCUAUGUUCCUUGGAACAGGACGUCACAGAGGGUGAGAAUCCCGUGCGAUGAGAUGACCCGGGUCUGUGUAAAGUUCCUUCGACGAGUCGAGUUGUUUGGGAAUGCAGCUCUAAGUGGGUGGUAAAUUCCAUCUAAAGCUAAAUAUUGGCGAGAGACCGAUAGCGAACAAGUACAGUGAUGGAAAGAUGAAAAGAACUUUGAAAAGAGAGUGAAAAAGUACGUGAAAUUGUUGAAAGGGAAGGGCUUGAGAUCAGACUUGGUAUUUUGCAUGUUGCUCUCUCGGGGGCGGCCGCUGCGGUUUACCGGGCCAGCAUCGGUUUGGAGCGGCAGGAUAAUGGCGGAGGAAUGUGGCACGGCUUCUGCUGUGUGUUAUAGCCUCUGACGAUACUGCCAGCCUAGACCGAGGACUGCGGUUUUUACCUAGGAUGUUGGCAUAAUGAUCUUAAGUCGCCCGUCUUGA